UAAUGGAAAAACGAAUUAGGUUCUUUUUAUUUGUAAAAGAUUAAAAGGGAAUCAGGUGAAAGUCCUGAACGGUCCGGCCACUGUAAUUGAGGAGCGACUUUCCAUUAUGCCACUGGGGAAUACCCCGGGAAGGCGGAAGGAAGCGAUGAUCCAAAAGUCAGGAGAACUGCCUAACGCGUAUAUAUGUA
rnacentral:ncRNA from 2 species